UUCACAGGUACCCACACUAAAUUAAUAUUCAAACCAUGGAAUUUCUGGAGUCAACAAAGAUGGACCUAUGCCAGUGGUUAUCAACAGAUGCUCAGUAUAUCAUUGACAAGUGUCAAGAUAUUUUAUCCGUUAAACAAGGAAAGGCUGUGUGCAAUCAAGACACUGAUGAAAAGAAGAUCAGCAUGCUGUUGAAAUUUAUUAUGGAAAUGGGAGAGGAAACAUGUGAGAAGUUCCUUGAGAUUCUGAAGAAUGAGCAGAAGCAUUACCCGAGCCUUCAACAGCAUUUCAGCAACAACAUGCACGGUCCAACAGUGUAUGCGGAUUGCAACAGCAUCGUUGACACCCGAAAAGUCACCAACGUCCAUGUUAAAAAAGACUUAAAUAUGGAUGCAACUGUUCAAGCAGGAGGGAUGAAUCCAUCUGGAUUCAACCACAGCCAACCACCCCCACGUGCAAAUAUGGUUGCAACCAAUAACAGUAAUAUAAUUUCACCAGGAAUAUCAAACUGUAUAGUUGAUGGAGACCUCAAUAUGUCUUUAAGACAGGCCCCACCCCACAAUGCCCCACACUGUCCAGGACCUUCUGAGUCAAAGGAGAGUAAAUUAACCUCAACAUGUUCCAUUGCAGACAUACCUGAGUUUUUGCAAAGAAACCGCUCGGAUUUGAUCAAUAAAGUUAAAAACGUGAUGGCCAUUUUAGAUACCAUGCAGAGCACAGUGUAUCCAAAGGAACUGGCCGCCAACGUUAAAGCCCAGCCGACAGAACAAAAAAUGAUGCGGGAGAUUCUGGACACUGUGACGACCCCCGUGGCCAUGAAGGCCCUGAUAGAAGCCCUUUUUCUUCAUCAGAAGGAUGUCAUGGGUUACCUGACCUGAUGGAUGAAGAAGCUUGACAUGUUCAAUUAAUGUUUUAUUCAUGCUUGUGCAGCCGUGCAGGUGUUGGUGUUGGGGAUGUUUUCACGUUUAAAGAAAAUAUCCCCUUUAAGGGACCUUUUCGUUUAACACUUUACAAUAAGGGGACAUUCAUUGUCAUAGGUUAAUAUAGUAAUUAACGUCAACUAACAGCAAGUUAUAAGUCUUCAUAAACAUUUAUUUAUCUUUGUUAAUAUCAACCAAGGGGAUAAUAAAUAUGAACUUUAGUAAUUGUUUUAGUGAAAAUCAAUUGACAGUAAUGAGCUUCACGAAGUGAUUGUUCUUGUAUAUUCAUGUUUAUGUAUACAUACAUUAAUCAACAACUGGAUUCUACAUUUCUAAGCUUGUUUUCUGCUUCUGAAAUAUAAAUGACUUGCUUGUCCUCUUGGGUGAAAUUUUUUUGAAAACAUGUUGGGAACAUAAUCUUAAAUGCUUGUGUGCGCUUACUGUGACAUUACUAAAUAGUGUGGGAACAUUUACUGAAUGUAUUGUAUGCAUGGCCCUUAUGGCAUACUGGUCUAGAAACAAAUGUUUUACUAAGGUUUGCAGGCUCUUCAUUAGCAUUACUUAAUAGUAAAAAACAUUAAUUGAAAGCAUUAGUGACCCUUAUUAUCGGAUAAAAUAUCUUCACACUUGUCAAUGAUAUACUGAGCACACGUUGAUAACCACUGGCACAGGUCCGUCUUUGUUGACUGAUUUAAAUGUCUAAUACUCAGUACGUUAAAGGUUUUGAUUCAAGAGGUAUGACGCAUAGAUUGAACAACUCAACUACAAGCAUGAAUUCUUAUUUUAUUAAAGAGGGGAAAACAACUAUUAUCUUCGACAAUGAAAAAUAAAUCACAGUUCCCUCAGAAGUGACCUUAGAACUGUGAGCACUAAUCUCAUUAAAAGGUUAAUUUAAUAGUUGGCUCAAAAGUAU
ensembl:lncRNA